GCCAUUUCCCCCCCCCCCCGGAGGCGUCUGGGUGUGCGGAUCGCGCGCGCGCGCGCCAGUCUCGGAGGCGCACCUGUGAGGUGUCCCCUCCCUCCCUCCCGCGGGGAGAGGGCCGGUGGGCGCGCGCGGAGUCGGCGGCCUAGGCGCGCUCCGCAGUCGCACUUGGGAGUGAGUUGGACUCGGCCGACGCCCUGCACAGUCCUGGCCGAGGCCGCCCAGCGUCCCGCCGAGGUGAUGAGGACCUCCCCGCAGCCCCAGCGAGCCUGGCCGCUGCCGCCGGACGCCUCCAUUGUCUGACCACCGCCUGGGCCCCCAGCUCCCCCGCAGACCUGCAAGUCCAAGAGACGUCCCUCUGGAAGAUGAGAGAGCUGCCUCUUCAGGAUCAAAAAAAAGAAAACCUGCGUGCUACUGUAUAGAGUUCCCAGGAGCAAGACUGGCUGUCCCUGGAGCCAAGGAACCUUCAUGCUGUCAAGACCUGCCAUCUGAUGGGAAGGAGGCAGAGCGACAUUCUGGCUCUUCUGAGGGUGCUACCGGGACUCACCACCAGCUGACGCCUUCUGCCCUGGACAGACAGAUCGCACUACACAGACUUUGUUUUAUGAGUGAGAAGUAGAAGAGUCCUGCACAUCGGAAAGACUCCAGGGGCUCAGAACAAAGGUGUCUUCUUCAUUCCUACCCCUGGAAUGUUGACCACAGGGGAUCUAAAGGAAAGAAAGCUCUGUGCUGGUGAGCUAUGGGAUUCUUAGGAAAGUCAGUGCGACUUUGUCAUCAGUAAGAACUGAGGGAGGAACACUAUGCAGGAAGAAGCCUUCCACAGAAAGACAGGCAGGGAGAAGCUGAGGCUGACAGUAAGCUUGCCCAGUAGAGCAAGCCUGAGAUAGACUGCCAAGAUGGCAGAAUAAGAGGCUUUAUGAAGUAGCAGUCCUGGAACUCAUAGUUGUAAGGACACUUUCUUCUCUAAGUCACAAUACCAAAUAGGAAAAAUGAUCUACAAGUGCCCCAUGUGCAGGGAAUUUUUCUCUGAGAGAGCAGAUCUUUUUAUGCAUCAGAAAAUCCACACAGCAGAGAAACCCCAUAAAUGUGACAAGUGUGAUAAGGGUUUCUUUCACAUAUCAGAACUUCAUAUUCAUUGGCGAGACCACACAGGAGAGAAGGUCUAUAAAUGUGAUGAUUGUGGUAAGGAUUUUAGCACGACAACAAAACUGAAUAGACAUAAGAAAAUUCACACUGUGGAAAAGCCCUAUAAAUGCUAUGAGUGUGGGAAAGCCUUCAACUGGAGCUCCCAUCUUCAAAUCCACAUGAGAGUCCACACUGGCGAGAAGCCGUAUGUCUGCAGUGAGUGUGGGAGAGGCUUCAGUAAUAGUUCUAACCUUUGUAUGCACCAGAGAGUCCACACUGGGGAGAAGCCCUUCAAAUGUGAAGAGUGUGGGAAGGCCUUCAGGCACACCUCCAGCCUCUGCAUGCAUCAAAGGGUCCACACUGGAGAGAAGCCCUAUAAAUGUUACGAGUGUGGGAAAGCCUUCAGUCAGAGCUCCAGCCUCUGCAUCCACCAGAGAGUGCACACAGGGGAGAAGCCCUAUAGGUGUUGUGGGUGUGGGAAGGCCUUCAGCCAGAGUUCUAGCCUCUGCAUCCACCAGAGAGUGCACACAGGGGAGAAACCUUUUAAGUGUGAUGAGUGUGGCAAGGCCUUCAGCCAGAGUACUAGUCUUUGCAUCCACCAGAGAGUACACACCAAGGAGAGAAACCAUCUCAAAAUAUCAGUUAUAUAAAGAUGUUUUGCUAAGAAUUAAAAAUCUUAAACCCGUAAGUGCCACUAGGAAGGAAACCCCAAAUCCACCUACAUUGACCCCGGGAACAUCUACAGCAAUCCCCAGAAGAACAUUCUUUCUGAGGAGGUUGUGUUUUUCUGAACUUGGAAUUUUUUGUAUGUGCCCAAGAUGGAGUAUUGUGUCCCUGUCACGGGUAUAGUGUUUCCUGGGACUCUGGCAACAUGCCUCAGCAGCUGAAAGAAUCCUCAAAACUCACGAGUCUUGCUUAGCCUCUGAGUCACCUUCUAUCUGUGCUGUGUUUCCAGGCAACGCCAGACACCCCCUUUUGGACCACACACUCCUUCCUUUAUUCAAACCUACCUACCUGUCAGUGCAUUUGAAGAUGGGCAGCUCCCUUGAAGGCCGAGUCCUGCUAUUUCUGAGGUUGCCACUUGGCUCAAUCUCACAUAGCUUUCCAUAUAUCCCAUUAUUUCUGAAUCCACCGUACCUCGUGUCCUCAGAGUACCUAUAAACACCUACCCCUUCCUAGAUGGCAUUAAAUUUCAUUUUAGAUUUUAGGAAAGUCAUAAUAUGCACUCACUCAGCCGAUCAGGAAAUCACUGGCAGAUGUACAUGCUCUGGAACUUUUCUUUAGUUUGUGGACUCUGCUAAUCACUGUGUCUCUAAGUUAGACUUUUUCCUAGUGGCUGCGUCACAUGCUUUAACUUGAAAAAAAAAUUUUUUUUUAAGUAGCUGAAUGUAUAUAUCAGGGAGGAAGAAACAAGCAAACUGAGCUUGUCUGCUUCAAGAGUGACCCUCUUGGGCUCCUUUUAUAAAUGGUGGGGUUCCCUACCAGCUGGGGAGGCCUUGGGAGGGCUGACUGGGGAGUCACUGAGGAUGGAUCUGUCAUCUCAGGCAAUAAUGUGUAGAUGUCAUCAUGGAUCACAUACAGUUCUUUUUAGGCAUGAGUAUGUAUUGCUGACCCAUCCUCCUCAUUCAUUCACUGAGUAUUUAUUGAAUGCCUCCUGGGUGUUGGACAUGUACUGGGUGCUGGGAAUGCCACUGGAUCAUGAAAUUCACCUCUGGAGGAAACGGGAUAACAAGUUAACACAUAAAUAAUGUAGUUUGCGGUAGUGAUUAAGUGCUAUGAGAAAUAAACUAGGGUGGUAUGUAGAGGGGGUGGGGGGCCAGGUAGCAAGGGUCAGAAACUCUGCGCUGAAGGUGCUGGGGCCAGGUGAGGAGAGCAGUACAAGUACACAGCACAGGAGCUGCUGGCUCUGGGGACGAGAUGCAGGUGCUGCAGGUAGUUUGUGGGGAGGGAGGCAGGCAGGCGCUGAGCCGUGAGCUGAGCGCGAGCAUUUAUGGGCCUGUUGUGUUGAUUUUGUUUCUACUGACUGAUGAUGCUAAGACUCUCGGAGGAACUCGAGGGAUGUUGAGAAGACCAAAAGUCCCCGGUGACACCGGCACAAAGCUCCCAUAUCCGUUUCCUUCUCAUUCCCGUUCUCGGUCUCCCACAUGCAGUCAUUUGCUCAGGAAGUCUUUGGGGAAACUAAUGACCUGUAAGUCUGAAGUGGGUGACUGGCUUGGUGGCUUCUGCCAGCCAUUUAAGACUGGAGAAAGAACUUCCCAGAUGGUCAGAAAUACAAGACUGCUGCUUGGUUUUUCUCUGCAGGUUUGUUUUUUUGUUUUGUUUUGCUUUUGAAGUGUUUGGCUGGAAGAGGCUGUUGUAAGACUGAAUGAAGCCUUGGUGUGUAGAGGAGGCUUGAUAGGAGCUCAUGGUCAGUGGGUUGUGUUUGGGCAUGAAUCUGUUACCAUGCAUUUCAGUGCAGACACCUUCAGGCAAGCCUCUGGCCCACUGGUCACUGCCUUCCCCCUCUCCAGAGAGGGCUAUUGGCUAACAAAGCCCCUUCCAGGCCUCACAGCCACCACACCAAUUUACUGUACUGUCUUAUACUCAAUGUCACCACAGCGUGGAGCAUUAGAGGAAAAUCUAGACUUUGAGUUGAUAGAGAGCCAGUUGAAAUAUCAUCAAUAGAAUCUUAGUUUUAGGAAGAAUUGGUUUGAUUUCUAGCUUUAUUACUACUAGGUAUGUAAGCUUGGGCAAAUCGCUUAAUCUUCAGGUCUAGUUUUCUCACAGAAUGAGGACACUGGACUAAAUGAUUUCCCAAUUUCCAGCUAGUCCUAGAGUUCUAUAUUUCUACAUAGUUGAAUUAUUUUAUCAUGCUGUUGCUGGGGAAUACAACUAACACUUUUGAAGCUACUAAUUUUAUGUCAAGCUUUAAAGUCCAUAAUUGUUAUCUUCAGAAAAUAUUAUUUGACCUACAGUAUGUCUAAAUCAAUUUAAUAAAAUCACUUUAUAACAGGGG